rnacentral:rRNA from 1 species
UACGGUGAAUACGUUUCCGGACCUUGUACACACCGCCCGUCAAGCCAUGGAAGCUGGGUGUACCUAAAGUCGGUAACCGCAAGGAGCCGCCUAGGGUAAACUAGUAACUGGGGCU